GAUGAACGCUGGCGGCGUGCCUAAUACAUGCAAGUCGAGCGAACGGACGCGAAGCUUGCUUCUCUGUUGUUAGCGGCGGACGGGUGAGUCACACGUGGAUAACCUACCUAUCAGACUGGGAUAAUUUCGGGAAACCGGAGCUUAUACCGGAUAAUCUUUUGAACCGCAUGGUUCAAAAGUAAAAUACGGUCUUGCUGUCUCUUAUCGAUGGUUCCGCGCUGCAUUAGCUAGUUGUUACGGUAACGGCUUACCAAGGCAACGCUGCCUAGCCGAACUGAGAGAGUGAUAGGCGACACUGGAACGGAGACACGGUCCAGACGACUAAGGGAGGCAGCAGAAGGGAAUGUGCCGCAAUGGGCGAAAGCAUGGCAGAGCAACGCCGCGUGAGAGAUGAAGGUCUUCGGAUCGUAAAAAUCGGUUAUUAGGGAAGAACAUAUGUGUAAGGAAAUGUGCACAGAUUGACGGUACCUAAUCAGAAAGCCACGGCUAACUACGUG
rnacentral:rRNA from 1 species